rnacentral:lncRNA from 1 species
CAAGUUCGACAUCUCAUACCCAACCAUCUGAGAUCCAUGAGCAAACUAGGAAAAGGAGAUUUGCAAACCAAGGGUCUUUAGGCAUAAAUCUUAUGAAUAGAUAUGGGAGCAUGUUAGAUCUUGAAAACUUGAACAACAUGGGACCAAGAAAAGAAAAUAAGUCUCCUUUCUCAUCAAUCAAAAGUUAUAGUCAACAAUUCAAUCAUCAUACUAACGAAG